CGGGAUGUAGCGCAGUUGGCUAGCGCACUACGUUCGGGACGUAGGGGUCGUGCGUUCGAGUCGCAUCAUCCCGA
rnacentral:tRNA from 4 species